UCUUACCAGCCGCUGAUCACGAAUCAUCUGACGGUCGAAAUUCUACCCGCUUCAUUAAGGGUAAAAUUGUAAUUUAGUGCUUAGAAUGACUACCUUCAAUCAAACCCGAUUUUCAUUUUCAUUUUCUCUCUCUUCAUUACACUUUCUCUCUUUACCUGGCAUUCUCUCUAUUAUUGCAAUCUCUUCUACACUCUUUCUCAUGGUUUCAUCUGCCUUCUUCUUCUCUUUUUGAUUCGGCUUGAAUCUGGACAAGAAUAUGAGAGUGCAUCAGCCAUCAAGAACCGGUGUCUGACCCCUACAUUGUGGUUGAGUGUAGCUAUCUUGCCAAGGAUGCUGCAGCUGCUGCCCUGCCAAGGUUGUUGCAGCUGCUGCCCUACCAUGGCUUGCUGCUUCUGCUGCCUACUGCUACUAUGCUACUUCUACUCUGCUACCUGCUGCUACUAUGCUACUUCUGCUCUUCCAACUGCUGCUGUAAAUGUUACCUGCGUUUCUAUGAAUAAACUAUGUAGCCUUGUAUAGUCGUAUUAUAGUUUUGGAUGAAUUUGUAAUAUUACAGCCAAGUGUUAAUAUAAAUAUCCAAGUUUAUA